UACGAAGGGGGCUAGCGUUGCUCGGAAUGACUGGGCGUAAAGGGAGCGUAGGCGGACAGUUAAGUCAGAGGUGAAAGCCCAGGGCUCAACCCUGGAAUUGCCUUUGAUACUGAUUGUCUUGAGUAUGGGAGAGGUAUGCGGAACUCCGAGUGUAGAGGUGAAAUUCGUAGAUAUUCGGAAGAACACCAGUGGCGAAGGCGGCAUACUGGCCCAUUACUGACGCUGAGGCUCGAAAGCGUGGGGAGCAAACAGG
rnacentral:rRNA from 1 species